rnacentral:rRNA from 1 species
AUAUGGGGGGACCAUCCUCCAAGGCUAAAUACUCCUGACUGACCGAUAGUGAACCAGUACCGUGAGGGAAAGGCGAAAAGAACCCCGGCGAGGGGAGUGAAAAAGAACCUGAAACCGUGUACGUACAAGCAGUGGGAGCCCCACCACUAAGCCAGUGGUGAACUCCACAUCCGCAUCCUUUGCUGAGGAUACGGUUAACGGAGCGAAAGCGACGUUCAACCGCAAAACAAGCAGAGGGGGCUUAGUGGUGGGGUGACUGCGUACCUUUUGUAUAAUGGGUCAGCGACUUAUAUUCUGUAGCAAGGUUAACCGAAUAGGGGAGCCGGAGGGAAACCGAGUCUUAAUUGGGCGUUAAGUUGCAGGGUAUAGACCCGAAACCCGGUGAUCUAGCCAUGGGCAGGUUGAAGGUUGGGUAACACUAACUGGAGGACCGAACCGACUAAUGUUGAAAAAUUAGCGGAUGACCUGUGGCUGGGGGUGAAAGGCCAAUCAAACCGGGAGAUAGCUGGUUCUCCCCGAAAGCUAUUUAGGUAGCGCCUCGUGAAUUCAUCUCCGGGGGUAGAGCACUGUUUCGGCUAGGGGGCCAUCCCGGCUUACCAACCCGAUGCAAACUGCGAAUACCGGAGAAUGUUAUCACGGGAGACACACGGCGGGUGCUAACGUCCGUCGUGAAGAGGGAAACAACCCAGACCGCCAGCUAAGGUCCCAAAGUCAUGGUUAAGUGGGAAACGAUGUGGGAAGGCCCAGACAGCCAGGAUGUUGGCUUAGAAGCAGCCAUCAUUUAAAGAAAGCGUAAUAGCUCACUGGUCGAGUCGGCCUGCGCGGAAGAUGUAACGGGGCUAAACCAUGCACCGAAGCUGCGGCAGCGAACGUAUCACCCAAGACAACUUUACGGAGUUGACGAUUGACGGAGCGAAGCGACGUCAAAGCGUUCAUUAAAGUCGAGUUGGCUUAGGGAUACGUUCGUUGGGUAGGGGAGCGUUCUGUAAGCCUGUGAAGGUGUGUCGUGAGGCAUGCUGGAGGUAUCAGAAGUGCGAAUGCUGACAUAAGUAACGAUAAAGCGGGUGAAAAGCCCGCUCGCCGGAAGACCAAGGGUUCCUGUCCAACGUUAAUCGGGGCAGGGUGAGUCGACCCCUAAGGCGAGGCCGAAAGGCGUAGUCGAUGGGAAACGGGUUAAUAUUCCCGUACUUGGUGUUACUGCGAAGGGGGGACGGAGAAGGCUAUGUUGGCCGGGCGACGGUUGUCCCGGUUUAAGCGUGUAGGUGUGUGUUCCAGGUAAAUCCGGUUCACUUUAACACUGAGGCGUGACGACGAGG